UCCGGGGAAUAGGAGGAGGCGCCGACGUUGGGAGGGGCGGCCUACCCACGGCCUCGAGGGCGCAGCUUUACGGCAGGGAUGGGCCGGGGGGCGCAGUCGUUAUCGUGCGGCCCCGCGCGAGGACCGGAGCCGACUUUGUUUUUCCCGCCGGCGCGCGGCCUCCGCCAGGAGGACACAGUGUAAGGAAAGAAAGAGAAAGGAAAAACAAAGAGGCCGGUGCUGGUGUUCUGGGAGUGAUUGGAUUUCAAGUUGCGUUCUCAAAUUGGACAUAAAUUUGGACUUCUUGCCUCCCCUCAUCUGCCUGAAGAGGCUUCAACAUCUGACUGGACCAGCAAACCAACAGGAGACCUCAAACUAACCCUUUCUUGGAAAGUGAAGCAGAUGACCUCUUCAGAGACUCCUCUCACAAGACUUGGGAGCAGGCCAGUAUUAUGUUCACAAGAUUCAUGAUACCAAUCCUCAUGAGGCUUCUUUCUCUUCCAUUUCCACUUUUGAUUGGGAAAACAAUGCUAUAACUCAAGUGUCACAAUCCCUUGUUGCUUCUGGAAACCUUUCUGACUGUUGGAUUUGUCACCACACUCCUACUAGGUCUUUUACUGAUAAUAAUACCCCGUAAUGUUAACCUAUAAAUAGUUUAUACCUCCAAAUAUUUCCAUUAGUUACAGCAAAACACAUCCCUCCCAUCACUUUCAACGUAAGGAUGUUCUUGCCUUAAGAAAACCUUCCAUGUUGGGGCGCCUGGGUGGUUCAGUCGGUUAAGCGUCCGACUUCCACUCAGUUUAUGAUCUUGUGGGUCAUGGGUUCAAGCCCUGCAUUGGGCUGUGUGCUGACAGCUCGGAGCCUGCUUCAGAUUCUGUUUCCCUCUCUCUGCCCCUCCCCUGCUCACUCCCUGUCUCUCUCAAAAAAUAAUAAAAAUAGAAAAAAGAAAACCUUCCAUGUUUUAUGCUGACCACCUACCUCCUGGGUCAAUGGGUUAGCAAAAAAUGGAAACCCACCCCUUCCCUUUAUAUGAUUUCCUCUUUACAAAUUGUGUAUCUUCUACCUGUUCUAAUAGAAAUCUUUUCAACUGUCCCAUCUCCAUUAUGCCAAGACUUUUGGAUAUUCCUACUUGAAUGUACCAGCCCAUUCUGCACCAAACCUUCUGAUACAAUCUUUCAACAACUCAGUGGUGCUCUUUUCUGAGAAAUCUGUUCAUUUAACCAAACCACUAUCCCUAGCUAGAUGCUAUCCCCCCUUCUCCUUUACAAAAAUAAGACCUGUGCAUUCUGUGCACCUCCAGUUGCUUGGACAGCUGGAGAAUUACUGGCCAAGGCUUUUCAGGUCACCUUAUUUCCCCCCCCUCACAGUUCUCAGAUCACAACUGAUCUCCUAUCACACGGGACUUCUCCAUAAUAGAGUAUCUGAUGAAGAUCCUUCUGAUUAUGAAGAUAAUAGCUGUGGACGUACCCAGGAAUGUGAUCCCCUGCAGGCUUUUCUGUCAAUUACCAGUGACCAUCUCCUUUGAGGUUUCUUUUCCUGGCUGGGGGUUGUAGCGUCAAACAUGACAUCACGUUGUAGAACAGGUCUACAAAUUGUAUUAUUGUUUUUCAUUUGUACCCUACUUAUUAUCUUCAAAUUAUGUUAUGCAUUUCCCAUUGCUGUUGUAUUCAAAAUGUCAAAAUAAUGGUUGCUCAAAGACUUGAAAAUACUCAUCAGACCUACUCACUGACAAUGACAAGUGAAACUUCAGUUGGCAUAGCCAAAAGCUCCGUGUGAGGGGCAAAGAGUAGCUAGAUUUUAUUCAUGUAACCAUGUUUGGGAAUUUCUGUUAUUCUAAUUUUUUAAUGUUUAUUUUUGAGAGACAGAGGGAGACACAGAAUCCGAAGCAGGCUCUGAGCUGUCAGCACAGAGCCUGACAUGGGGCUCCAACUCAUGGACAGUGAGAUCAUGACCUGAGCCCAAGUCAGAUGCUCAACCGACUGAGUCACUGAGGCGCCCCUGUUAUUCUAAUUUCAGUGGGAAAUGGUUGGAGGGUUUCAGGUAGGGGCCUGUGUGAUUUGAGUGAUAGAAAGCACUAGAAUGACAGAGCUGUAAAAUCGGAAGUGAAAUCAAGCACCCGAAGUAGAGGUGCUCUUAAGAGAGAGAUCCGACAUGCAAAGGAGGUCAGGAAGAUGGCAGAGUAGGAGGAUCCUGAUCUCACCUCAUCCGGUGGACACACCGAGAUAGCAGCUACUUAUGUGCAACUAACUCUCUUCCCCUCCCAUGCUCAUGUUCUGUCUCCCUCUGUCUCUCAAUAAUGAAUAAACAUUAGAAAAUUAAGAAAAAUAAGAAAUAAACAGCAAAAUGAAAAAAAAAAAGCAAAGGAUACAAACAGGCAGUUCACAAUAUUCUGAGGGAAUAGUUCUUCCCUGCUCCUAAUAUUUACUUCCUCUAAUCAAGCACAAGUAAUUCAACUACAGGUAUCUCUGUCCUUUUUGUACGGUUGCAAGCUUCUAGGAUGUUUGUUAGAUUUGUUUAAAUGUGGUUGGGGCACCUGGGUGGGUCAGUCGGUGAAGCGUUCAACUUUGGCUCAGGUCAUGAUCUCGCAGUUCAUGAGUUCAGGCCCCACAUCGGGGCUCUGUGCUGACAGCCCAGAGCCUGGAGCCUGCUUCAAAUUCUGUGUCUCUCUGUGCACCGAGAGACACACCCCCACUCUCACCCUCUCAAAAAUAAACAUUAAAAAUUUUUUUUAAUUUUUUUUGAAGAGGGAUAAACUUACAGUUACAAAGUAAUUAAGUCAUGGAGAUGAAAAUACAGCAUAGGAAAUGUAGUCACUAAGAGUCUAACAUUUGUUGACAGGAAUUAUUAUACUAUGUACCUGACGUAAACACUAUUUUGAUUAUUCUUCAAUAAAAAGCUUUG